rnacentral:rRNA from 1 species
UACAGAGGGUGCAAGCGUUGCUCGGAUUUACUGGGCGUAAAGCGUACGCAGACGGUAAGGAAGGUCGGAUGUGAAAGCCCCGGGCUCAACCCUGGAACUGCAUCCGAAACCCCCUUGCUAGAGUAUGGGAGAGGGAAGCGGAAUUCCUGGUGUAGAGGUGAAAUUCGUAGAUAUCAGGAGGAACACCGGCGGCGAAGGCGGCGAUCCUGGGUAGAUACUGACGCUGAGGUGCGAAAAGCGUGGGGAGCAAACAGG